AGCGAACGCUAGCGGCGGGCUUAACACAUGCAAGUCGAGCGGAGAGCUUCGGCUCUCAGCGGCGAACGGGUGAGUAACACGUAGGUCACGUACCCUUUGAUGGGGAAUAACCUAGGGAAACCUGGGCUAAUACCGCAUAUGUCCUUCGGGAUGAAAGCCUUCGGGCGUCAGAGGAUCGGCCUGCGGCCCAUUAUUUAAUCCUAGUUGGUAGGGUAAUGGCCUACCAAGGGUACGAUGGGUAGCUGGUCUGAGAGGAUGAUCAGCCACACUGGAACUGAGACACGGUUCAGACUCCUACGGGAGGCAGCAGUGGGGAAUAUUGGACAAUGGGCGAAAGCCUGAUCCAGCCACGCCGCGUGGGUGAUGAAGGCCUUCGGGUUGUAAAGCCCCUGUCGGGAGGGACGAAUCAAUGACGGUACCUCCCAAGAAAGCACCGGCUAACUCCGUG
rnacentral:rRNA from 1 species